UCUGAAUACAAAAAACCUCUAACUACAAGUUUCAUAUUUAAAUUCUACUUACAAACAUUGAAGCAAUUAAACCAAAUGCAUCCAUCUAGGUAUGAGGCUGUACCGGUGGAAUAUGUGAGCACUUUGGACGACUUCCGUAGCAGUCUCCCUAAAGGUUCACAAAAAUAUCAGGAUAUUAACCCGGAACAGUUGCCCCAUGACACAGUAGGGUGUCCCCUGAUGCAUCUUGCAGCGAUCAAGCAUGCCACAGGAGAAGCUCUCUAUUGUGAUGACAUUCACCCUGUGCAGAAGGAACUCUUUUUGGCCUUCGUGACAAGUUCAAGAGCCCAUG